rnacentral:sRNA from 1 species
UUGUUUGCUCAGGCAUUGUAAUUAAGAUUGACACCUAAAUUCAAUGGAGAGGCGGAGUAAGAUUUUGUUUACUAUAUAAAAAAGAGUUGAUUGGACAAUGAAUAUUAUAUUGGAAACAAUUUUGAUAUUAAUUGACCAAUCAAACCUUUGUGUAUAGUAAACAGACUGUUAUACUCCACCUAACCAUUGAAUUUAGGUGUCAAUCUUAAUUACAAUGCAUGAGCAAACAA